AAAACAAACCAAUGUUAAACCAGGCCCAAAGUCAGAUGAUCUUUAGUCUUAAUGAAUGUUCAACUGGCAAUCUUUAGUUGUUUGUUGUAGUCCUUUCCUCUUUAACCUUAAUUUUUAUUUGCAGUUCUACUGAAAACCAUCUUAAUGGGUUUGUUUAAAGUGUAAAAAUUAGUAACUCUGGAUAUAAAGUUAAUUAAGGAUGGAUGGCAAUAUUGUUCUUACCAAAGCCAGUCAUGAAAUAUUCUUAGUCUCCUGCCUAAACAUU
rnacentral:lncRNA from 1 species